rnacentral:rRNA from 1 species
CACUCCUACGGGAGGCAGCAGUGAGGAAUAUUGGACAAUGGGUGGAAGCCUGAUCCAGCCAUCCCGCGUGCAGGAAGACGGCCCUAUGGGUUGUAAACUGCUUUUAUCUGGGGAUAAACCUACUUACGUGUAAGUAGCUGAAGGUACCAGAAGAAUAAGCACCGGCUAACUCCGUGCCAGCAGCCGCGGUAAUACGGAGGGUGCAAGCGUUAUCCGGAUUUAUUGGGUUUAAAGGGUCCGUAGGCGGACUGAUAAGUCAGUGGUGAAAUCCGACAGCUUAACUGUCGAACUGCCAUUGAUACUGUUAGUCUUGAGUAAGGUUGAAGUGGCUGGAAUAAGUAGUGUAGCGGUGAAAUGCAUAGAUAUUACUUAGAACACCAAUUGCGAAGGCAGGUCACUAAGUCUUAACUGACGCUGAUGGACGAAAGCGUGGGGAGCGAACAGGAUUAGAAACCCGUGUAGUCCC